rnacentral:lncRNA from 1 species
AAACGAUUUUUCUAUAGCAAGUCUAUACUAGUACAGAAUUACUUGAACUCCACACACACAGUAUCCAUUGAGUAAGAUCCUUCGCUCCGCAUACAAAGUCUCCUCUGUGCGUUAUGUGUCACGGUCGUUAUAGGAUUUGAAAGAACUGGUUGGUUGCUGCUCUAUGGCAAGUCAACAACUAAUAGCAAGUUAGUCCCACCCUGCAAUACCUGCCACAUCCAGAGAGAAACAUACUAAAUGCUGGAGAAUAAACCACUCUUGAUGACAAGUGCUUUAUUUCUGCAGUGCCACACCAACCAGUAUGUAAGAGCGAGGCUGAUGUAACUGUCAGUUUUCUAUAUUUUCAUUAGUUAUUGCUUUCAAGACUAUUUUGUAGUCACUUUAUGAAUUCUUAGAACAGAAAACUGAAGGCAUAGUUGAGCAGACAAGAUUGAAUGACUUAAUUCUUAAUAGGUUUUGGAGGCAGCUAUGUGAAACAUGCACUAGAUGUGAUACAAAGGUACCUUUCUAGAACAAAUUAUGUGUACAAUUGCCACCCAGUACUGCUAUUGUUAUGGCCUUGUCCCAGCUUACCUGUCAAAGCUGCUGACACCCUAUCACUUCUAUGGUGGUCUCUUAAAUAUGUUAUUACCACCCUAUCUGUGCUACAACUUUGACAAUAGAAUUUGGCUGUUUCCUCUCCUUUUAGGCCCCACCAUUUGAAAUUCUCUGCUCUCUUUGAACAGUAACAAUCAUCAAAACUUGUAAAGCCUGGUGUUCACACACACCUCUUUAAUAGAUACCUUGUGUAGCUUUUUCACUUGCUCAUCACUUCCCAAUUAUCAUCCUGCAUGUUGUUGCUUAAGUGUUUGUGUGCUUUGUUAGAUGUUAAACAGUUUAUUCAUUUGUAGUCCUCUGAGUACAGCACAUUGAGCUUGCCUCCAUCAUAUGAAUGUGCUUUAUAAAUUCAAUUAUUGUAGUGGCAAAACAAAGUCAAUGAAGAAACAAGUCAUUCACACAAAGAGAUGUGAGCUUAGAAAAAACAAUCAGCUCAACAAGCAUGACAGAUAAGAUUCUCUUGAGGUUUGCUGGAAGUUUGUAUAAUAACAAUGAGCGGAAUGUGGACAUAGGAAUUGCCAGCCCUUUGCUGAUGACUUAAACAAAAAUUUCAGAAGUAUUGUGUUUUAGAUUACAAAAUGAAAUAAAUAUAUAUGUAAGCUUUGCAGGUUCAUGAAGAUACAUCUUUUGCACACAAAAGAAGUAAAAUUUUGUAAUAAACACUUUUGAAAAGAAUAAAAGCCACAGCCCAAUAACAUUUACUUACAAUAUUAUAAUGUUAAGAUUUUAAACUGUAACUACUCUUUGAAGACAACCAUUAUGAACACAGAAUACUAGUGUGGAAGCCAGUUCUUAUAUUCAACCAGCGUAAACGAGAAUAAAAGAGGUUAUACACUUGCACAUACUUCCAAGGAAUCUUAACUAUUGUUGCUCCAGCAAUAUACACCUGAAUUACCAGACCUACAAAACAGUGGUGUAGAAACCAGGGGCAUAACUGUCCCCUCAAAAAAAAAA